GCUGGAGUGGUGGAAUUGGCAGACACGCUAUCUUGAGGGGGUAGUGCCCUAUCGGGCGUGCGGGUUCGAGUCCCGCCUCCAGCA
rnacentral:tRNA from 1 species